CGCUUGCACUGAUCCCUUCCUACGGGAGGCAGCAGUGGGGAAUCUUGCACAAUGGGGGCAAGCGUGAUGCAGCCAUGCCGCGUGUAUGAAGAAGGCCUUCGGGUUGUAAAGUACUUCAGCGGGGAGGAAGGCGGUCAUACGGGAGCCAGCAGCCGCGAUCUUACGGCGCCUAACCAGCG
rnacentral:rRNA from 1 species